ACAAACAAGAGUUUCAAUGCUAGGCUUUUUGGAUGGACCAACAUACAAAAAAUGGAGAGCAAUGCAUAAGUCUGCAAAGAAUUCGCCAAGACGUCGUCGGCUUCGUUCGGGGUUCCCGAAUUGUUUUCUGUUCAUUGGCGUUUGUACUUUGUUUAUUUCUGUUUAUUAAUUUGUAAAUAAAAAUCACUUUUAAGUUA